rnacentral:rRNA from 1 species
UACGUAGGUGGCAAGCGUUGUCCGGAAUUAUUGGGCGUAAAGCGCUCGCAGGCGGUCCUUUAAGUCUGAUGUGAAAUCUCGCGGCUCAACCGCGAACGGUCAUUGGAAACUGGAGGACUUGAGUACAGAAGAGGAGAGUGGAAUUCCACGUGUAGCGGUGAAAUGCGUAGAGAUGUGGAGGAACACCAGUGGCGAAGGCGACUCUCUGGUCUGUAACUGACGCUGAGGAGCGAAAGCGUGGGGAGCGAACAGGAUUAGAAACCCCUGUAGUCC